rfam:Pelosinus fermentans B4 ctg36, whole genome shotgun sequence.
AUCUACCUGUGAUAUAUGUUAUCUUAUAUAUGUCCAACCUACUUUUAUAAAUAGGGAAUCUAAUGAUCUGGUAGCUGUCGGACCUCCUUUGAGUGGAUGGCAAAAGCCAAUCUGUGAUGCCCACCUGCUAGCGGCAGGUUUGGACAUAUAAAAGAAACGAUAUCAUGGGUUUACU